GGCCGGGUGGUGUAGCGGUUAUCACAACAGCUUUACAGGUUGGUUUUCCUUCAAUGUCUGGUUCAUGUGUCAUAACCGAAUGGUUGCAUACACUGUCAAAGAUCCUGAAGGAGAGGGUUGCCACCUCCUAUCGCUGUUGGUCGCGAGUUCGAUCCUCGCCCUGGUCA
rnacentral:tRNA from 2 species